rnacentral:rRNA from 1 species
ACCUACCAGCCCUUUACAUACCGGUAGCGGACACAGAGAGGUGUCUUUCUUUUCGGGCUGGACCGGAUACAGGUGCAGCAUGGCUGUCGUCAGCUCGUGUCGUGAGAUGUUGUGUUAAGUCCCGCAACGAGCGCAACCCUCGCCCUUAGUUGCCAGCAUAUAGUGUGGGCACUCUAAGGGGACCCCCGGUGAUAAGCCGAGGAGGAGGUGGGGAUGACGUCAAGUUCUCAUGGGCCUUACGGGCUGGGCUACACACGUGCUACAAUGGUGGUGACAGUGGGCAGCGAGCACGCGAGUGUGAGCAAAUCUCCAAAAGCCAUCUCAGUUCGGAUGGCACUCGGCAACUCGAGUGCAGGAAGCGGGAAUCGCUAGAAACCGCGGAUCAGAAUGCCGCGG